GUCUACGUAAUUUAUUUAAAAUACCGGUCUUGUAAAUCGAAUAUAGGGAUUCCCUCUUAGACU
rnacentral:tRNA from 1 species